rnacentral:rRNA from 1 species
AUACGAAGGGGGCGAGCGUUAUUCGGAAUCACUGGGCGUAAAGCGUGCGCAGGCUGCUUGGAAAGUUGGAAGUGAAAGCCCAGGGCUCAACCCUGGAAUUGCUUUCAAAACUACCAGGCUCGGAUUCGGGAGAGGAUAGCGGAAUUGUCAGUGUAGCAGUGAAAUGCGUAGAUAUUGACAGGAACACCAGUGGCGCAAGCGGCUAUCUGGACCGACAUCGACGCUGAGGCACGAAAGCGUGGGGAUC